rnacentral:misc_RNA from 1 species
GUAAAGCUGAUUGUCCAAUGUUAGAGUCUCAGGCUACAUUAACAACAAGUGACAUUGUUAUCAAUAAAUUGACACAAAUCCUGUCUUACUUGAGGAGACAAGGGUCAAAGAAAAUGAAGAAGAAGUAGAAUGGUGCAUACAGUAUAUUUCCUGAUAUGGGCGAAUACGAUUUCGAUGCAUCUGCAGUUCCGUCUGAUUUAUCAAAGAGAGAUCAACCGUUAUUCACUAAAAGACAUCAAGAAAGCUACUAAAGAAUUUGUCAAGGCUAUAGGGAAAACGGCGAGAGGACUCAUUCUGAUGGUCCAUUACCUUCUGGUUGGUCAGCAAGGGAAGUAGAUAGACAUGUGUUUAGAAGCUCCAGUACUAAGUCGACAGAACCAGUUCUUAUGAAGAAAGCAAAAACUGACAAUGUUGGAUUUGGUGGUUUAGAUCAAGAUCAUUAUGCUGAAUGCUAUCCUGGGUCAGUCCUUAAUAUUAAUAUUAAU